rnacentral:rRNA from 1 species
AUGGCUCGGGCGACGAAGUUGCGCGGGCUACUGUUCGCGGUGCUGCUCCUCGCGGCCACGCCGGCUCCCUCGGCCGCGGCGGCGGCGAAGGAGAAGGGCUCCGGCAACGGCAACGGCAACGGCGGGCCGGUGAUCGGCAUCGACCUGGGCACGACCUACUCUUGCGUGGCCGUGUACCGGAACGGGCGCGUGGAGAUCAUCGCCAACGACCAGGGCAACCGCAUCACCCCCUCCUGGGUCGCCUUCACUGACUCCGGCGAGCGCCUCAUCGGCGAGGCCGCCAAGAACCAGGCCGCCGCCAACCCGCUCCGCACCGUCUACGACGCCAAGCGACUCAUCGGCAGGCAGUUCGUCGACGCCGAGGUGCAGCGGGACAUGAAGCUGCUGCCGUUCAAGGUGGUGGACAAGAACGGCAAGCCGCACCUCGAGGUGGAGGUCAAGGCCGGCGACGUGCGGACGCUCAGCCCGGAGGAGGUGAGCGCCAUGGUGCUCACCAGGAUGAAGGAGACGGCCGAGGCGUAUCUCGGCGAGAAGGUCCGGGACGCCGUCAUCACCAUCCCGGCCUACUUCAACGACGCGCAGCGCCAGGCCACCAAGGACGCCGGCGCCAUCGCCGGCCUCAACGUCGUCCGCCUCAUCAACGAGCCCACUGCUGCCGCCAUCGCCUACGGGCUCGACAAGGUGGCCGACGGGAAGGAGCGGAACGUGCUCGUGUUCGACCUCGGCGGCGGCACCUUCGACGUCAGCGUGCUCGCGCUAGACGGCGGCGUCUUCGAGGUCCUCGCCACCAACGGCGACACACACCUCGGUGGAGAGGACUUCGACCAGCGCGUCAUGGACCACUUCAUCCGGCUCGUCAAGCGGAAGCACGGCGUCGACAUCUCCGGCGACGCGCGCGCGCUCGGCAAGCUCCGGCGCGAGUGCGAGCGCGCCAAGCGGGCGCUCAGCACCCAGCUCCAGGUCCGCGUGGAGGUCGAGUCGCUGGCCGACGGCGUCGACCUGUCGGAGCCGCUCACCCGGGCCCGCUUCGAGGAGCUCAACGCCGACCUCUUCCGCAAGGUCAUGGCGCCCGUGAAGAAGGCCAUGGCGGACGCCGGGCUGGCCAAGGGCGACGUCGACGAGGUGGUGCUGGUCGGCGGCAGCACGAGGAUCCCCAAGGUGCAGCAGCUCCUCCGCGACUACUUCGGCGGCAAGGAGCCCCACAAGGGCGUCAACCCCGACGAGGCCGUGGCCUACGGCGCGGCAGUGCAGGGCGGCAUCGUGCGCGGCGACGCCAAGGAGGUUGUGGUGCUGGACGUGACUCCGCUGACGCUGGGCAUCGAGACUGCCGGCGGCGUGAUGACGAGCGUGAUCCCCCGGAACUCGCCGAUCCCGACCAAGAGGGCCAAGAUGUUCACCACGUACCAGGACAGGCAGACGACGGUGACCAUCACGGUGUUCGAGGGCGAGCGGAGCAUGACAAAGGACAACCGGCUGCUGGGCAAGUUCGACCUCACCGGGAUCGCGCCGGCGCCGAGGGGCACGCCGCAGAUCGAGGUGACGCUGGAGGUGGACGUGAACGGCAUCCUGCACGUGGGGGCGGCGGACAAGGGCACGGGCAGGUCGGAGAAGAUCGAGAUCAGCAGCGCCGGUCGUAGCAUCAGCCAGGAGGAGAUCGAGCGCAUGGUGCAAGAGGCGGAGGAGUUCGCCGAGGAGGACAGGAAGGUGAGGGACAAGGUGGACGCGCGGAACAAGCUGGAAGCGUACGUUUACAGCGCCAGGACGACGGCCGACGGCGAGCUGGGGGACAAGAUGGACGGCGGCGACAGGGAGAGGGUCAGGGAGGCGGCGAGGGAGGCCAGCGAGUGGCUAGAGGCCAAUCCGGACGCUGACCAGGACGACUACGCGGAGAAGCUCAAGGAGCUAGAGGAUGUGUGCAGCCCCGCCUUCGCCGCUGCCUACGGGAACGCCGGCGGUGGUCAUGACGACGACGCCGAGGAGGACAACGACCACGACGAGCUUUAG